CUUAUUGCUGAUGAACAUCUUUUGUCAGAUCUGGAUCCGAGCUUGUCUAUUUUCAAAUGCUUGACAUAAGCAGGACAUCCCCAGAAUCUAAGGUAUGAGAGUACCGACUUACGCUUUGUCCAUAUCUCAUAUAGAGUUUUACUUACAGAUUUGCUAGAAACCUUAUUAGGUAACAAGUCGAUUCUAAUGCAUAUCUUCAAAAGG
rnacentral:lncRNA from 1 species